rnacentral:rRNA from 1 species
AGGGCGCAGCCUGAUGCAGCCAUGCCGCGUGUAUGAGAAGGCCUUCGGGUUGUAAAGUACUUUCAGCGGGGAGGAAGGUGUUGUGGUUAAUAACCGCAGCAAUUGACGUUACCCGCAGAAGAAGC